AAUAAUAAUAAUAAAUAACUUUAUUAACACACAUUACAAAAAACAAUACAACAGAUUUUAAAAGAAAAAGACGAAUGCAUGUUAAUAGGGCGCCCGCUCAGUUUUAGUUGGGACACCUUAUUAAUAUAGGAUGUCCCGACACUGAUUUUCAGCGGGAAGCCCUAUUAGCUACUGCGCAUCCCUACCGGCGAGCCUGCUGGUGUAAAAGGAAAAUAAUGUUAAUAUAAAUUUAAAUUUAAAACUAAAAAAGCACAGAAGGGAUACGCAGCAACUAUUAGUCGCGGGGUACGUGGACACGAACAUAAACCAAUACUAAUAAUAAUAUAACACAGACACAAUUCGAUAAUUAUCAGGAAGAAAUUAUUUAAAACAUUUAACAUAAAAUUUACAAUAAAAAGUUAUUUCCAUUACAUACUUACAAACACGGACAAUACAAUAAAAUUGUACCAAUCCUAUGUCUUCUCCACUUCACGCGAGGCAACUCAAGGAACAAAGAUAGUGAGGUGAAAAAAACAAAGAGAAGAGAAAAAAAAAAAAAAAAAUGAACGAAAAAGAACUGACAUGUCAAACGUGACAGUGUGUCGUUCAAAUAACGAUUCGACAAAAUAAAAAUAAAAAUAAAAAUUAACCUACCACCGACAGAGUGAAAAAUCACUUUCUUUGGCUACCACGGAUUUAAUUGUGAAUUGUGAUUGCUACCUUCCAAGCGGUAAAUGGAAAAAAUCAAGAUGGUCCACGUAGUAAUGAUGUGGCAAGCAUGUGUCCUGAGGAUUACACCCAAUGUAUUACUUUCCUCUAUGGGAUUGACGUUCUCACACUAAUAACGAUAACAAGUAUAACAACCCUUUAAUGCGUGGCUGGGAACUAUAUACGACUGCGUCAAUCAAAGAUUAUAAUAUUAUAUUUGGAUUGCGCACUAACUAUAACAAGAUGAGGCCGCCAGUGACGCUCAACGACCGUUCGCGCAGGAAUUAAUGCGCGCGACCGGGGUGAUGGCGGCCCAUCUAAUCGGCCACAGAGACACCCACCCAACGCGAGUGCGAUCCUCACUGGUGCCGGGACGACGCAGACAGGCCAGCUGCUGCCAAUACACGCGACGCGCAUGCACUCAAGGGCGCGCAACGGCGGUGGCAGGUCGUUCCAGCACCGCGAGGCCGCAUACCUGAAGGAUCCACGGAAUGCCAUGGUGCGAUGUUUCGGAGUUGCAAAUAUGCGGGUGCAAGAUCUUUUUUGAUAUCUGCUAUGACUCUGAGCCCAUUCCAGCUUAUUAAGCAGGUAACUAGGUCUCAUUUUAGUAAUGACUCCGAACAACAUUACUGCAAGGUGUAGCUUUCUACGUGCCUCCAUUUUGAGCAUGUUAGCGGCAUUGAGAAAAGGGGUUAUAUGAGAUCGGGGGGGAACCAUGAAGCAAAAACGGGCACAUGCAUUUUGCACCCUCUGUAUAAGGCGAGCAGAUCUGGACAGCAGGCAUGACCCAUACACUGUGUCGCAGUAGUUUAGUCUACUUAAGACCAGCGAUUCACACAAUGUUACUCUAAUUCUUUCACUGAGGUAUGGUCUCAGCCUGUAAAGAAGCUUUAGUCGGUAAAAGCAAUUACGGGCGCACUCAGCAACAUGAUUUUCGAACCUCAAUUGACUGUCAAAGGUUAAUCCAAGGUUUUUUGCUCUAUCAACCAACUCCAACGGCUCACCAUUUAUCAUUACUCUGCUACUACCAUUAACAUUAAUUUGGAUUUUUAACUUCUCAAUAUUUUUAGUGGUUCCAAUUAACAUUAAUUUAGAUUUUUGGGGAUUGAGAACAAGGCAAUUUGAGUUACACCAAUCAGAUAUCAUAUUUAGCUCUUCAUUGGCCUUAGCUACAGCAUUAACGUAGUCAUAUGGUGCAAAAGACAGAUAUAACUGUAAGUCAUCCGCAUAUAAGUGGUAAUGGCAGGUAGCAAUACAAUUUGUUAUAUCAGCACUGUACAAUAUGUAUAAAAUUGGUCCUAGUAUUGAUCCCUGUGGGACACCACGACGCAGGGGCUCCAACCGUGACCUCAAUAUAGUGCCAUCUUUUUUUUUUAGUUCUACUAUUUGAGAUCUCCCCGUUAGGUAACUAUGGAACCACUUAGUUGUACUAUUAUCCAGGCCGUAGUAGCUUAACUUAGACAAUAGGAGCGGUAUAUUUAUUGAAUCAAACGCUCUGGAGAAGUCAAGUAGCAUCAACAUAGAGACUUGUCCCUUGUCCUGAGCCGUGAGAAGAUUGUCGAUCACAUCAGCCAGAGCAGUCGCCGUACCAUGUCCCCCUCGGAAGCCAGAUUGAUAGUUGGGAAGGAUGUCAUUAUUUUCAAGAUACUUUGUCAGUUGAUCGCAAACUAUUUUUUCCAGAAUCUUUGAGAGACACGGCAGAAUGCUGAUGGGCCGGAGGUCCCGAACCGUGGUAGGGUGACUGGUUUUAGGCAGAGGUUUGACGACUGCCACCUUCCAGCACUCAGGAAACACGCUCCCUUGAAUAGACAUGUUCACCAUAUCUGUAAUAGACUCAAGAGAGUAAGGAAGCGUCAUCAACACCAUGUCCAAUGUAAUACCAUCGAUACCCUGAGCAUGUGAUUUCAGUGACUUAAUAGUUUUUAACACAACAUCACUGUCCACAGAACGUAACGAGAAACCGGCAGAGGCAUUAAAUCUAUGAUGCUCAUAGUAAGUUAGUUGGGAGAUGUUAACCCCAUUCUCGCCCGGCACAUCUAGAAAGUGUGAAUUUAUUGUGUUUGGGUCAGUGAAAGUCUGUGAGAGGUCAGCUGUGUCCUUUUUACUUGUUAAAACUGAAUUCUUUAAGUUUUUCCACAGUGUCCCUGAGUCUGAUAUUUUACUAUUGAUGUGUUGUGUAAAGUAGCAAGACUUUUCCCUAUGAAUAGCCUUUAUCACCAGGUUUUUCAUCCGUCCAUAAGCAUCCCUGAGGGCUGCGGUCCCGAUCCUUUUAUAUUUUCUGUGAUAGUUGUCCCUGAUGCGCAUCAUAUCCCUAAUCGUGUCCGUCAGCCAUGGAUGGGGAGGGUGUUUAAAUUUGCGUGUUUUUAAGGGUGCAUGAAGGUCCAUGAGGCCUGUGACACAACCGGUGAAGGCAACGACAAGACUGUUUACAGUAUCACAACGUUUUAGGCUGUGCCAAUCUAUAGCGCAGAGAUCUCGAUCAAGUAGUUCCUGGACCACAUCACCAAGCGGCCUGUAGGUGACCCAGAGUGGGGUCGGCCUUUCUGUCUUAAUCCUAAGCUCCGCCACCAGCAUGGCAUGACCACCCAAAUCAGGCGAGUGCUUCACCGUGACACGCAGGGCCUUUACAUCGGUACAUAUGAGGUCGAUCAGGGUACUACUGUGGUCCGUGAAGUGCGUAGGUUCCGUAACUAAUUGCUUGAGAUUAAGACCAUGUAUAUAUUGCUUCAAGGCUCCACAUCUGCCGCCACCAUCAUCAUCCAGAAGGUUGAUGUUAAAGUCACCAGUCAGGACUAGUCCUCCAUACCCAGUGAAAGAGGCAACAGACUCGGCGACGGCGUCCAGAAAUAUGUCAAUAUCCUGCCAGGGCGGCCUAUAAGCAGUGCCAAUAACGAUGGCCUGCCCGUUCACGCGCACAGAGAUCCACAUCUGCUCGACCGAUCCCACAGUGAUAGGGUGAGGACAUACUCUUACAUUUAGACUCUUGCGAACAUAAAAACCGACUCCGCCCCCCCGACCCCUCUUCACAUGGGCCGGUCUGGGAGUAUGUUUCAGGCGGUAGCCCGCCAGCUUAGGAGCUCGCUCCUCCUCCCCCGGUCUCAACCAAGUCUCAUUUAUGGCCAUAACAUCUGGGCUCAAAUCCUCCAUAGCCGCUAGGAAUUCAUCAUGCCUUGUGCACAGUGACCCAGCAUUGAACAGUCCCACCAUUAAGUUUUUCAACCCAAGGCCUGUAAAGGUUGUGGAAUAAUCAAACACCAAUAGGUCAAUGUAACUGUAGCAAUCCCAAAACCAAUGCCUCCACUGUACUUAUAUAGUGACUUACCAUAAGUAAUAAAAAUGUGAUUUGUAAUAAAAUAAAAAUUAAAUUGAUACAACCAA